rnacentral:rRNA from 1 species
AUUGAACGCUGGCGGCAGGCCUAACACAUGCAAGUCGAACGCGCGGCGGACGGGUGAGUAAUGUCUGGGAAACUGCCCGAAGGCGGGGGAUAACUACUGGAACCGGUGGCUAUUACCGCUUACCAUCGGAUGAACCCAGAUGGGAUGAGCUUGUAGGUGGGGUAACGGCUCACCGAGGCGACGAGCCCUAGCUGGUCUGAGAGGAUGACCAGCCACACUGGGACGGAGACACGGUCCAGACUCCGACGUGAGGCAGAAGUGGGGAAUAUUGCACAAUGGGCGCAAGCCUGAUGCAGCCAUGCCGCGUGUGUGAAGAAGGCCUUCGGGUUGUAAAGUACUGUCAGUCGGGAGGCGUUACCCACAGAAGAAGCACCGGCUAACUCCGUGCCAGCAGCCGCGGUAAUAC